ACUCGACAUCCAUUCCGAAGAGCCUCUAUUAUUGGCACAAUGCUUGAUGAGGAAGUUAAUUGGUUGCCAGUUAGGUAUGAAUUGUGACUUGCAUAAAUGUAAUAAUGGGACAAUGGCCUUGUCAUGUCAUGUGUGGGCUGGAAAAUAUGGUUGAUUUUUAAUGAAUCUAUAUACAUAUAUAAAUAUAUAGGUAGAUACUCAUGCCACAAUCAUAUACAUAUAUAUAUAUAUAUAUAUAUAAUUAUUUUAACUCAAAAACUUACAAUUAAAUCUAUUUUUAGAUAUAAUUAACAUAUAAUCAUUUUUAUGAGAUUUUAUGUUUUUUAUUACCGAAACACUUGUGAGCAUAGAUUUGUGAAUUUAGCAAAAUAUUGAAAUCUUUAUAUAGAAACAAAAAAUCAACAGAAUAAUUAUUUUUUAAAAAAAAACCCAUAUUUUUUUCUCAUUAAUUGAACUUUUGGAAUAUGUUUCAUUCAUAGGUUUGCAAUCAAUUCCAAUAUUAUGCAAGCUUGUAAGAGAAACUUACAAUAUCUGUGUCUGAAAUGGGAGGGUUCAAUUUGGCAUUCACCAAGUAGUUUGAAAACCCUAAUAGAUCCAGUUGCACACUUUGCACAGAGAUGGAGAAAUGGAACCCAGCAAUUGCGCUCAAAACAGUUUGUGUGACCAAUGAGGCCACUUGGUGUUCAUCCAAUCCUUUUUGUCCCUGAACCUUUUCCAAAAAUGUUGCAAAAUCCAAAGCAUUCAUGUAAUUCUUUCCUUGUGCAGCUUCAUGAAACAUGGUUUUCACAAUCUCCGGCGGAGUGUGUUGGAGUACAUUUGGUCUUGGAAGUACACACUCACAUCCAAUAAUUGUCAUUUUUUCCAAAUCUUAGCGUGAUUGCUUUUGGUUUUGUACAAAUAUUGCACAAAUUUGGG
rnacentral:lncRNA from 1 species